rnacentral:rRNA from 1 species
CCUACGGGCGACAGCAGUGAGGAAUAUUGGUCAAUGGGCGCGAGCCUGAACCAGCCAAGUCGCGUGAGGGAAGACGGUCCUAUGGAUUGUAAACCUCUUUUGUCGGGGAGCAAAAGACGCCACGCGUGGCGUUCCGAGAGUACCCGAAGAAAAAGCAUCGGCAAACCCCGUGCCAGCAGCCGCGGUAAUACGGAGGAUGCGAGCGUUAUCCGGAUUUAGUGGGUUUAAAGGGUGCGCAGGCGGAAGAUCAAGUCAGCGGUAAAAUUGAGGGGCUCAACCUCUUCGAGCCGUUGAAACUGGUUUUCUUGAGUGGGAGAGAAGUAUGCGGAAUGCGUGGUGUAGCGGUGAAAUGCAUAGAUAUCACGCAGAACUCCGAUUGCGAAGGCAGCAUGCCGGCGCUCAACUGACGCUCAUGCACGAAAGUGUGGGUAUCGAACAGGAUUAGAUACCCUUGUAGUC